CCUACGGGAGACAGCAGUAGGGAAUUUUGCGCAAUGGGCGAAAGCCUGACGCAGCAACGCCGCGUGCACGAGACGCGCUUCGGGGGGUAAAGAUCUGUCAGUGGGGACGAAACUUGAAGGUACCCACAGAGGAAGCACAGGCUAACACCGUGCAAGCAGCCGAGGUAAUACGGAGGGUGCAAGCGUUGUCCGGAGUAAUUGGGCGUAAAGGGUUCGUAGGCGGCACGGAGAGUCAGGUGUUAAAGGCAUGGGCUAAACUUCUGAACGGCACGGGAUACGUGCGAGCUAGAGUGGAGUAGAGGUAGGCGGAAUGCCUGGUGUAGCGGUGAAAUGCGUAGAGAUCGGGAGGAACACCAGUGGCGAAGGCGGCUUACUGGGCCGUAACUGACGCUGAGGCACGAAAGCGUGGGUAGCAAAUAGGAUUAGAUACCCGUGUAGUC
rnacentral:rRNA from 1 species